UUAAUGGCCCCUUAAUAGUAGGCUGUGUGGGUUGGGGUCAGGAGAUGGCGUCUAGAGGACCAACCCUCGUGACCCCCGAAGGUCGUCGUCUCCCCCUGAAGGUCUGGUUCACCCCUUCCUAGGAUAAGCAAUCACGCAUCAUAAGAGGAUUUUGAUUUGAAAUGGGCCCCAUACUGAACAAGUAUCUCAAACUGUUGAGCUUCGGAAGAAAAGGCUAACAUCAACAGCUGAUUGCUGGAAGUAUUUCACUAAGAUAUUUGUGUGAGUAAAGAUGCAUAUAAUCCUUUGACUAUCAUCUUGAAAAUUAAUUUUGGGCCACCUUUCCACAUGAAGAUCUCAAUUCUUUUACCACCAACUACAUAUUCUUGUUCAUACCCAUUACAACUUGCCUUUUCCUUUCCAUCUUUACCCACACCUAUAUAAGUGAAAUUCUUCCAACAAUCAGCAGUUGUUGUCUUAGCAAGAGUUGCUGGACCCCAAGAUAAAGAAGACUCCUGCUGGUCGAGGAACUCUAAGACCAUUUUUCAAAGUGUCUACAAAUGAUCUCAAAAGGUUUAUGAUGAUGCUAAAUUUUUAUCCAUGAGACCACAUUCCGAAAAACCUUUAAUUUUCUCCCUGUCCUCUGAACUGUCUAUUCUCUAUCACUUACUCUCACCAUAUUCACCACAUCAGAAAAUUCACUCACCAAUCUUCAAUUGAGAGGUAGGCCUUGACUUCUGUUUGCUUAGGACAUUGUGGGCAGAACAUAACUUCUGGUCAAAUUUUAUUUUAAUUUGCUUCUAUUUUAAUUAUAUCAUCAUGUGGCAGGUGUCUGUCAUUGAUCUUCUAAAAGCUCAUAAGGUAAACUAUUUAGGUUCAUGGUAUUUUCUUUCUCUAUAUUGUUUUAUUCUUGAAUGUUUGUGCUAUGAAGGACUAAAACUAAAACUCUGCUAUUUUUAUAGUCAUUUUGUUCUCACCCAAUCUGGUUGUCAUUUACACGUAUUUCAUUUUGUUUGUUAGUGGAUUGAUUCAUGGUUUGUGUGGCAUUUUGUUCAUAUGUCACAAAUAUGCCUCCAUUAGGGUAAUUAAGAACAAAUCACUUGUUGAUGACCAUUAAUCACUUGCUGUUAUUGAGAAUGGAACUGAAGCAUUUGAGAUUAUGAUUAGAAAGGCUUAUAAACCAAGGAAGAGUAGCAGUUGUGUAUUAUAUUACGGGAGCUAUUGAAUGCAAUAAUAUGGUAGCUUUGUCAGUUCUCAUAAAUUGCAGCAAUCUUUCAGGAUUGAAUUGAGAGGGAGAAAUUUCACCUGCAAGAAGGGGCCUUAGAAGUUUUCGGUGAACAAUGAUAAAUACAAUGUGUUCUCUUCUUAGCUAAGCUAUUCUCUUCUUUUACUUUCUGCAUAGUCUGCCCCUUCUUUAUCAUAUAGAGUUACUGAUUUACUUUAUAUCUAAUUUUAUUUUUAAUCAAUCAAAAUUGAUUAGACUAUAGGAAGUUCUUCUCAAAAUUACUUAAACAAUUUCAGAUGCAUACUUUUGAAAACCAUUUUGGCUUUAUAAGUUUAGAAGUUUCUGAAUCUUUUGAAAUAAUCUCCUGGAAUUUAAAGAAUUUUGAAAACUUUGUCAUCCGAUAAAUUACCAAAUACCAGUGUAACUUAUUCUGUUCAGAAGGUUGAUGUCAAUCAUUCUUUAUAGUUUAUACUUCAAAAGGAUUUGCCUUGUUAUUAAGUACUAACCCCUAAUCGAACCUCCUGAGCAUCUAGUUUUGAACGGAUAAGUGGUAUACAUUGCUGGACCCUCCAGCAGCUGGAGAGGAUCCAAAUCCGUUUUGAACUUGAGAAGACAUCCAAUUUGUGAUUUCAGGUUUGCCAAGUUUUAAUUUCAAGGAUUACAAUUCAACCCUUUUAAUUGGUAUUGAUUAAUUUCAGUAUAUAUCCACUUUUAAGGAUAUUUCACUUAAAAUAAUCAAUUUAAUCAUAGCAAAUAUAAAUUAUAUUUUGAUGAUAUUCUAACUUAAAAGGCAUAAUGUAUGAAUUUUGAUCCUCUCAUGUGAUAUGACAUUGUCAUGUUAAAUUAGAUCAUUUAUUUUAAGCACACUCCUUUAGAGUCCUAACUGAAACUAGUAAUUUGAGGCACACAAAUUACAUGAGGCAACGGCAAAAUUUAAACCCCCCAACUUCUAAGUUUCUGUGUAUAUAUUUGCAUUGUAAUAUGCAUGUAUUAUUCAUUCCAUGCCUCUAAGCCCCUUUUGAUAUAGCAUUGUCCUUAGUAGUCAUGAUUUCUAAGUUGCUUUUCCUUGCUUUUCUUACUGCAACUACCUGCCUUGCCAGUGGUGCGAGGAAGCUUGGCGAAUUUGGUGAAGAUAUGUCAUUUCUUCACCAUACACAUGCCUAUGGUGAUGGUAGUGGUGGUGGUGGUGGCCUCGGUGGGAAUGGAGGCGGUGCGGCUGGUGGUGUGGGCGGCAGUGGAGGAUAUGGUGGUAGCGGAUCUGGUUUCGCAGGUGGAGUUGGAGGUGGGUAUAGUCCUGGAAAUGGCAAUGGAGGGUUUGGUAGUGGAGGGGGUGGAAGUGGCGGUGGUACAGGUGGGGGUUACGGUGGUGGAAAUGGAGGACUUGGGGGUGGGGGUGGAGGAGGAGGUGGUGGAAUUGGAAG